GCACUCACUUUGGCAGCACAUAUACUAAAAUUAGAAUGAUACAGAGUACAUUAGCAUGGCCCUUGUGCAAGGCUGACAUGCAAAUUCAUUAUGCAUUCCAUAUUUUU
rnacentral:snRNA from 1 species